rnacentral:rRNA from 1 species
CCGCACAAGCGGUGGAGCAUGUGGUUAAUUCGAAGUCAACGCGUAAGAACCUUACCAGGUCUUGACAUCCCGAUGCUAUUCUAGAGAUAGAAAGUUACUUCGGUACAUCGGUGACAGGUGGUGCUAUGGUUGUCGUCAGCUCGUGUCGUGAGAUGUUGGGUUAAGUCCCGCAACGAGCGCAACCCCUAUUGUUAGUUGCCAUCAUUCAGUUGGGCACUCUAGCGAGACUGCCGGUAAUAAACCGGAGGAAGUGGGAUGACGUCAAAUCAUCAUGCCCCUUAUGACCUGGGCUACACACGUGCUACAAUGGUUGGUACAACGAGUUGCGAGUCGGUGACGGCGAGCUAAUCUCUUAAAGCCAAUCUCAGUUCGGAUUGUAGGCUGCAACUCGCCUACAUGAAGUCGGAAUCGCUAGUAAUCGCGGAUCAGCACGCCGCGGUGAAUACGUUCCCGGGCCUU